AGGACGAACGCUGGCGGCGUGCCUAACACAUGCAAGUGGAGCGACGAACCGGGGCUUGCCCCGGGGCAGAGCCCGCGAACGGGUGAGUAACACGUGGGUUACCUGCCCCGAUGACUGGGACAACCCGUCGAAAGACGGGCUAAUACCGGAUGUGCCCCUUGGGGGAAAGGAAGCUUCGGCCUCCGCAUCGGGAUGGGCCCGCGGCGCAUUAGCUUGUUGGUGGGGUAAUGGCUUACCAAGGCGACGAUGCGUAGCUGGUCUGAGAGGACGAUCAGCCACACUGGAACUGAGACACGGUCCAGACUCCUACGGGAGGCAGCAGUAGGGGAAU
rnacentral:rRNA from 1 species